rnacentral:rRNA from 1 species
GAUCAUGGCUCAGGAUGAACGCUAGCUACAGGCUUAACACAUGCAAGUCGAGGGGCAGCAUGAUUGAAGCUUGCUUCAAUUGAUGGCGACCGGCGCACGGGUGAGUAACACGUAUCCAACCUUCCGUACACUCAGGGAUAGCCUUUCGAAAGAAAGAUUAAUACCUGAUGGUAUCUUAAGCACACAUGUAAUUAAGAUUAAAGAUUUAUCGGUGUACGAGUGGGGAUGUCCG